rnacentral:lncRNA from 10 species
CUCACUGCAACCUCUGCCUCCUGGGUUCAAAUGAUUCUCCUGCCUCAGCCUCCCGAGUAGCUGGCACUACAGGUGCCCGCCACCAUGCCUGGCUAAUUUUUUAUACUUUUAGUAGAGACGGGAUUUCACCAUGUUAGCCAGGAUGGUCUCAAUGUCCUGAUCUCAUGAUCUGCCUGCCUCGGCCUCCCAAAGCGUUGGGAUUACAGGUGUGAGCCACCGCACCCGGCUGACUAGUUCUUCUAGACUAGUUUUUACUCCCCAUUUCCACUGGGUAGUAUAUAUUGGAUUCUCAAUGAAUGUGAACUUAAUAUUACAGAAAACAAAAGCUAACAUUGAUCAAAUAUUUGCCAUAAGCAACUUCUUAGCUUAGCACAGCAGACACAACUCAUUUCACAAUACAAAAAUAAAACUGUUAUUAUUGUUUCAAUUUUACAGAUUAUGAGACAGACUUGGAGAAAUUAGGUAACUCCUCCAAGUUAGGCUCCAGGUUAAUAUCUGACUCUACAACCAACACUCUUCACAACUAUGAAUCCCAAGUCCAAAAAUAAACUUUUACCCCUUUUGGUUGAGAGAAGCCAAGAGUCACGGCUGGACUACAGUUUGAAACUGUUCUCAAGACCCACUUGAAACUGGAUUCAGGUAGUGUUGCCCUUUCAGCCUCAAAAAUCUCUCUUCUCUAUGCUAGAUGCAGGGCGUCCUACAGUCCCUCUCCUGGGAAUCUCUGUAAUAAAUUAAUUCAAACGAAAAUGUAUGUGGUUAAUGCUGUGUUUGCUUGAUUUAUGGACCUUUCAUAUGAAGUAGGAAGAUAUUUAGAGUUGAUUUAAUACUGGAUUAUUUCUACAAAAGUUUGACAAGUCCAUAUUUAGAAAUAUGAUCUCCUUUUACAGAAAAUCAGGUAUCACGGACGUACAGUCUGUUCCAAGGAAGUAAACUCCUUUGUCUGAAAACUGCCCAUACUAAAGAUAUUUAAUAUCUGAUGAGGUAUUAUAACAUUAAUUUCAUCACACUCCCAACUGUACAUUUUAUAAUCACUUCAGUAGUUCUCAAGCUUCCUAUAAACAGGAAGCUUACAAAGAGCUGGGAUUCCCAGGCCAUACUCAGAGAAUUCUGAUGCAAUGGCUAUGGUAUUGGGCCUAGGAACCUACUGUUUAGUAAGCACCCUAGGUAAUUCUGAACCACAUUUUGAAAAAUCGUAUUUGAAAUAAAAAAUUCAAGUACAUAUUUUUAAAAUAUUCCACAUUAAUAACUCAAAUAAUAUGGUCAAGAAGAUGUAAAUAUUUAGGAAAACUAAGUGCAUCAUUGCCCUCUGGAACAGAGGCUGCUGUUUGUCACCUUUUUAAGUCUUUUGAAAGACUAGUCCAUUUUUUUAUCAAGCCAUACAGCCAAGUUUGUAUGCUCCCCAAGGCCUGGCGGAAACAUUGGCCUAAUUACGAAUAAGUGACAAAAAAUUAGAACAAAGAUAUUUUAAAAUGGCUUUAAAAGAUUAAAAAGGAAAAAAGUCAUUGCAUAAAGAUGCCUAAUGCAUCUUAAGGAAUCUAAAUUUGAGGGACAUAGAAAAAGAGAGUAAAAGUCUCAUUUUUUUUAUUAUUAUUAUACUUUUAAGUUUUAGGGUACAUGUGC